CAUGUUGAAACACCGGUUCCCAUAUAUCACCAAAGUUAAGCAACAUCAAGCCUGGUCAGUACUUAGAUAGGUGACCACUUGGGAACAUCAGGUGCUGUAAG
rnacentral:rRNA from 1 species